GAUGAACGCUAGCUACAGGCUUAACACAUGCAAGUCGCAGGGUAACAUGAGGAAAGCUUGCUUUCCUUGAUGACGACUGGCGCACGGGUGAGUAACGCGUAUCCAACCUUCCCAUAACUACGGGAUAACCCGUUGAAAGACGGCCUAAUACCGUAUGAUAUCGUUUGCUGACAUCAAAUAACGAUUAAAGGUUUAGCGGUUAUGGAUGGGGAUGCGUCUGAUUAGCUUGUUGGCGGGGUAACGGCCCACCAAGGCGACGAUCAGUAGGGGUUCUGAGAGGAAGGUCCCCCACAUUGGAACUGAGACACGGUCCAAACUCCUACGGGAGGCAGCAGUGAGGAAUAUUGGUCAAUGGGCGAGAGCCUGAACCAGCCAAGUAGCGUGCAGGAUGACGGCCCUAUGGGUUGUAAACUGCUUUUAUGUGGGGAUAAAGUGCGUGACGUGUCAUGCAUUGCAGGUACCACAUGAAUAAGGACCGGCUAAUUCCGUGCCAGCCGCCGCGGUAA
rnacentral:rRNA from 1 species